rnacentral:rRNA from 1 species
AUGGUGUCAGAGGAAUCAAGGAAAUCAAGGGAACGGGUGGAACACAUGCUGGAGAGGAUGAAUCUGACUGAGAAGGAGAACAGGAAGCUGGUGGUGGAUGAUCAGGAGGAUGAAGGAGCGGCCCCCCAGUGGGCGCUGGUGGGGAAGGUUCUGCAUCGGAAAUUUCUUCAUGUUAACACCAUUGAAGAGGUCCUUCGCCCUGCGUGGGGAAACCCACGGGGACUGAACUUCAAUCCGGUAGGGGAAAACAGGUUCGUGGCAAAUCUGGAGACCCAACGUGAUAGAGAUCGCAUCUACGGAGGUGGACCGUGGAUGGUGGGGAAACACGCGGUGAUCUUGGAGCUGUUUGAUAGCAGAGCCCGGCCCUCUGAUUGGAAGUUCGAAAAACUACAGGUUUGGGCUAGGGUGAUAAAUUUGCCGUUCUCCAGUAUCCGCCAUGGCCGGAGAGGAUUGCGGGCAUGGUGGGAGAAGUUAUUAAGCUAG